UGCCAGACUCCUACGGGAGGCAGCAGUGGGGAAUAUUGGACAAUGGGGGGAACCCUGAUCCAGCGACGCCGCGUGAGUGAAGAAGUAUUUCGGUAUGUAAAGCUCUAUCAGCAGGGAAGAAAGAAAUGACGGUACCUGACUAAGAAGCCCCGGCUAACUACGUGCCAGCAGCCGCGGUAAUACGUAGGGGGCAAGCGUUAUCCGGAUUUACUGGGCGUAAAGGGAGCGUAGACGGCGGCGCAAGUCCGGAGUGAAAGCCCACGGCCCAACCGUGGGACUGCUCUGGAAACUGUGCGGCUUGAGUGCGGGAGGGGCAGGCGGAAUUCCUAGUGUAGCGGUGAAAUGCGUAGAUAUUAGGAGGAACACCAGUGGCGAAGGCGGCCUGCUGGGCUUUAACUGACGCUGAGGCUCGAAAGCGUGGGGAGCAAACAGGAUUAGAUACCCUCGUA
rnacentral:rRNA from 1 species